rnacentral:rRNA from 1 species
CUAUGCGCCUUGCCAGCCCGCUCAGUCAGAGUUUGAUCCUGGCUCAGGACGAACGCUGGCGGCGUGCCUAAUACAUGCAAGUCGAACGCUUCUUUUCUACCGAGUGCUUGCACUCAAUUGAAAAGAGGAGUGGCGGACGGGUGAGUAACACGUGGGUAACCUACCCAUCAGAGGGGGAUAACACUUGGAAACAGGUGCUAAUACCGCAUAAUAGUCGACACCGCAUGGUGUUGAUUUGAAAGACGCUUUCGGGUGUCACUGAUGGAUGGACCCGCGGUGCAUUAGCUAGUUGGUGAGGUAACGGCUCACCAAGGCCAUGAUGCAUAGCCGACCUGAGAGGGUGAUCGGCCACACUGGGACUGAGACACGGCCCAG